CCACAUCAUCAGGUAAGCCCGGCAAAACAGAGCAAAACUCUGUUGGUUCUCGUGCUAUUAACUGGAAAUCAACUUUCGAGCGAGUGGCCAUAUUGCUUUGAGUGACAGAGAAGCACAUUUCUGUUCCGGCAAAACGCUUUUUACAACCAGUCAGGCCAGGCAUUCCCAAAUUAGGCUGCAAACAGGUUUCGCUACAACCCUAAUACCGCCAGGUGAGAGAGAACAAUAAGGCUUAGAGGAAGGGGAGGG
rnacentral:misc_RNA from 1 species